CUCGCACCUCGACGCAACUGUAACGAUCGAACUCACUUUCUUCAUUACGAACCGUGCGAGCGUCAACACGUAUGUAUCGUGUUAUUCGAGCUAUUAGAGGAGGGAAUGUAAAAUCUGGCACGAAUCAUCUGCUGAAAUCAUCAGCCGCUUGUGGCAGAACCAACACAGCACCACAUGAAUUAUUGGCAAAAUGUUGAAACUACUAGCCAAAUUUAGUUCACAUUUCUUACACGCACGGCGCCACCAUACAAAACCUGUGGCAGAUCUAGACAACACAAAUGAGGUAUACAGCAUACUCGAUUCUCACUAAGAAUAUUAAAUUUUCGAAAUAUCGGUAACGACGAGUGCGACAUGUGAAUGGUAAUGGUGAAUCAGGUACUUGAUUUUCGGGUGACAAAAAAAUACAUUACGCCAUGGAACUGAUACCUCGCAAGUGUCCUAAGUAUAUAUUUGUCCAAAUGCCAUUCUGCAAAAAAUAUGGACUGUCGAUAAUUUGGCGAAUAGUUCCAACGUUUUACCAUUGUUUGGUCACAGAACCUCGUCUCUGGGUUGGCUAACAGUUUCAGCGUUUUGUCACUUCCGAAUUAGCGCUUUACGGAGCCUGAAUAGACUUUCUAGAUUUCACCACAAGUGACGCCACUGUUCGGCCAGCAGUCAGUUUCCAGGUUUUGUCAACUACUAACUGGCGCUGUAUGGACCCUGGACAGAGCUUCCAGAUUUCACCACAAGCGACGUCACCGGUCGGCUAGCAGUUUGAGCCUUUUGCAAUUUACUAAUUGGCGCUGUACCGAGGCUGAGAAUAACUUCUUGAUUUUGCAAGAAAGGCGCUAUCUGAUCAUUUCAGCAGACUAUUCGUGCCAGAUUUUACAUUAUCUCGUUACGGCGAAAGUAGUACGAAUCACCUGUUAGGAUAUUUCACGUUGGAACAUCAACUAGGAAAUUGUAACUAACUAAUUAAUUACAACUCAAACAUGCGUAGAAUUGGUAUAAGUACAUUGCUGGGAUUCUUCUGAGGUUUCCAAUGAGGAAAGUCGAAAUAAAUGAAACACCACGUUGAAGAAACAAUAAAUGUUAAGCCAGCGAAAAAUGACUCGAUCUUAAGGGAUAAUUUCAAAUUGAUUUUGGAAUGUGUUCUCGUAGGAAUUUUCGAACACUCAAAGGCUCAAAUUAAAGCCAAGCGAUCGUACUUGGAUACAGGGCGAUAACUUCGCGCAAGAUUAUGAACAGCUUAUGGCAUAUAAAUUUGUUUAUUAUCAUUAUCUGUAUAAUAUAUUUGAAACAAUAUCAUUCUACAACAUUGCAUAAAAAUAUACAAAGACAUGACAAAAUGUCUUGACUCUCGUUUGAUAAAA